CUGUCAAAGAGAGCCUCUAUGAAAUACUCCAGCCUGCCUGCGUCCCCCUCGUCCACGUCCACUGCUUUCAGCUGGACCACCGCGGUUCCUGCAGAAUGCCAGACUCAGACAGAGCGGACUUCUCCAGGAGCUUCUGCAGGCGGCCCUGGUUAAAGGAACUGUGUCCAACUCUCCAGUGAACGAACACAAUACAGACAUGACAGGCAGGUCUGCAGCGCCUCCUCUUGGUAUUGGUUGGAAAAUGCAAGAAAAACGUUGAAAUGUAUAAAGAUGAGGGCUAAUUUGAUGGAUCAGCUCAUUCGUUCCAAGUGACCCUCUGAUCCACAGCUGAGGCCUUCAAGGUUCUGGAAAGUCCCAUCAGAGCUUAACUCUGCCUCAAAUCAGCCGUGUAAUCUUCACAGCUGAAAGCCCGACCUCCUUCUGACUUGGACCCCUCGACGGUCCACUAACACAACCACCACCUCCUCCACUGCUCUGCACACUGGGAACCGCAUGGAGCUUUCCAGUCAGUUAGAGGAAACAGUUGAAGCUAAAGUUUGUUCUCAGGAGCAGACUGCACUGUGAGGUUUAACUUCUUACAUUUGCUCAUGUCAAUGAUAUUUUAGGAAAAAGGGUAAAAACAUCCAUCUUCAGAACCUCUUUAGCCCCUAUCAGGAGUUGCUGGAGCCUAUCCGGCUAGUAUUGGGUCAGGGAUCUGCAAUCUUUAACACCAAAAGAAACAUUUUGUCCGUUUCUUACAGCGAGCCCAAAAAAGUGCCAAUACGCUGUUGAGAAAAAUCAACUUUAAGUUUUGUGG